UACAGAGGGUGCAAGCGUUAAUCGGAAUUACUGGGCGUAAAGCGUGCGUAGUCGGUUAUUUAAGUCGGAUGUGAAAGCCCCGGGCUCAACCCGGGAAGUGCAUACGAAACUGGCAGGCUUGAAUCCGGGAGAGGGAUGUGGAAUUCCAGGUGUAGCGGUGAAAUGCGUAGAUAUCUGGAGGAACACCGGUGGCGAAGGCGGCAUCCUGGACCGGUAUUGACGCUGAUGCGCGAAAGCCAGGGGAGCAAACGGG
rnacentral:rRNA from 1 species